GUCAAAGUUUUCAUGCUGAAAAUGGAGGAGAAGCCAUUGAUAAGAUCUCCAUUUUGACGAACACUGAGCAGCUUCCUAGAGGGCCAACAUGAGCUUAGCCCGCGGUUAAGUGGCUAAGCGCCUAACUAUUUUUCUCGAGGUCGGAAGUUCCAUCCCUCAUCCCCACAAUUGCUGUACUAAAAUAAAAAUGUUAUGUUAUGAAUCAUCUAGAUUCCAAUCCGAUUGUUAUUAUUAUUAAUCCGAUAGUUAUUAAUAGCA